rnacentral:rRNA from 1 species
GACGAACGCUGGCGGCGUGCUUAACACAUGCAAGUCGAACGGAAAGGCCCUGCCUUUGUGGGGUGCUCGAGUGGCGAACGGGUGAGUAACACGUGAGUAACCUGCCCUUGACUUUGGGAUAACUUCAGGCAACUGGAGCUAAUCCCGGAUAGGAGCUCCUGCUGCAUGGUGGGGGUUGGAAAGUUUCGGUGGUUGGGGAUGGACUCGCGGCGUAUCGGCUUGUUGGUGGGGUAGUGGCUUACCAAGGCUUUGACGGGUAGCCGGCCUGGGAGGGGCACCGGCCAAGUUGGGACUGAGAUGCGGCACGGACUCGUACGGGAGGCAGGGGAGGGGAAGAUAGCACAGUGGGAGGAGGGCUGGUGCAGCAACGCAGCGUGGGGGAAGAGGGCCUGCGGGUUGGAAAGCGAUUUCGCCUGUGACGAAGCGUGAGUGACGGUAAUGGGUAAAGAAGCACCGGCUAACUACGUG